rnacentral:rRNA from 1 species
UUCGCCCUUUUCCGGUUGAUCCUGCCGGAGGCUACCGCUAUCGGAAUUCGAUUAAGCCAUGCGAGUCGAGAGGGUUCGGCCCUCGGCUGACGGCUCAGUAACACGUGGAUAACCUGCCCUCAGGUAGGGGAUAAUCUCGGGAAACUGAGGAUAAUACCCUAUAAAUAUCCUUUGCUGGAAUGCUUGGAUGUUCAAAGGCAACGCCUGAGGAUGGGUCUGCGGCCUAUCAGGUUGUAGUGGGUGUAACGUACCCACUAGCCCGCGACGGGUACGGGCCUUGAAAGAGGUAGCCCGGAGAUGGACUCUGAGACACGAGUCCAGGCCCUACGGGGCGCAGCAGGCGCGAAAACUUCGCAAUGCGGGAAACCGUGACGAGGGAAUUCCGAGUGCUCAUACAAUGUAUGGGCUUUUCUGAUGUGUAAAAAGCAUUAGGAAUAAGGGCUGGGUAAGACCGGUGCCAGCCGCCGCGGUAAUACCGGCAGCUCUAGUGGUAGCCACUUUUAUUGGGCCUAAAGCGUCCGUAGCCGGUCAGGUAAAUCCUUGGGUAAAUCGUACAGCUUAACUGUGCGGCUUCCGGGGAGACUGCUUGACUUGGGACCGGGAGAGGUUGGAGGUACUCCUGGGGUAGGGGUGAAAUCCUGUAAUCCUAGGUGGACCACCGGUGGCGAAGGCGUCCAACCAGGACGGCUCCGACGGUGAGGGACGAAGGCUAGGGGCGCAAACCGGAUUAGAUACCCGGGUAGUCCUAGC